UCCCAGUUCGGAUUGUAGUCUGCAACCCGACUACAUGAAGCUGGAAUCGCUAGUAAUCGCGGAUCAGAAUGCCGCGGUGAAUACGUUCCCGGGUCUUGUACACACCGCCCGUCACACCAUGGGAGUCGGAAAUGCCCGAAGUCUGUGGCCCAACCGCAAGGAGGGAGCUGCCGAAGGCAGGUCCGGUAACCGGGGUGAAGUCGUAACAAGGUAAC
rnacentral:rRNA from 1 species